UGUGAAAGCAAAACAAGGGGCGGUGGGAGGGGGAGGCGAUGCGCUUGGUGGGGAGGCGAGGGGCCAAUGGCGAGGUGGCCUUCCCCGCCCCUCCGCCGGCCGCGCCCAUAAAAGCCCUGGCGCGCCUCCUCCGCCCCGCAUCUGAGGCUGGAGCGCAGCGGAGUCGGGUCGUCGAGCGGCAGAGAUGGGCAGGGCGCUGGCGACGCGGCUGGGCUUAGGGCUCCUGCUCCUGGCGCUUCUCCUCCCCACGCAGACAGGUGGACAAAAUGGAACAACUGCAUCCCCCCACAACAGUACUUCCGGUGUGACGUCUGUGCCGCUUAGCACACUGAACAUUACCACAACACCAGGACAUGGAAACUCACUUCAAUCAACUACUGGCCUCUUCAUUCUCUCUAUCUUUCUUCUCUAUGUUUGUUAAGACACCCCUGGCUGGGAAACAACCACUGUUCACUACCCAGUUCCCUGAACCAUCUGAGAUGCCUAGGCUCCAUAUCCCGGCAUGAGAGAAAACUACAAAAUAUCUGCCUCAAAGCCAAGAGCCUUGUAAAAGUAUCUGAUGACUGAAAACCAUCUUCCCGAAACCAAUUGACCAUGAAGAGCGGGAGGCGUACCUAGGCUCAGAAUGCAGUGACUGAACUGAUGAAAGUACAAAUUGACCAGUCAUGGAUAAUGUCUACUAUGAAUAUAUAGGAGAGAGUUUAUGAAGCUAUGCAAAAUAAGGACUUCUAAUUUGAAAGAAAAUGAAGCUUGGCCUCUAAGCUUCUAAAACCUCUAGAAAAUGCAAAGGGCACUGAAGUGGUUCUUCUUUGUUCCAUAUAUAAAGAUAUAUCCAACAAAAUUAGUUCCAUUCAGAAUUUCACAUUGGGGUUUCCAACAAGCUUAAACCAAACAAUUCCACCUCCUUUCAUUUUAAUGUGUGGCAGUACUUAACUACGCCUAUGUCAUUGAAAACCUAUUGGAAAUCUUACUUCUACUGUGGUAUUUCAGGUUUUCCAUUUUGUUAAAGCUACAACUGAACCCUAUAUGCCAGAAGAUAAAAAGUACCAUAUUAGUAAACUACUGCAAGAUCAGUUUGAAAUGGCUUAUAAUAAAACAGAACAAAGGAUCAAUCAUUGCCACUUAAGUUUUAUUGUGAUUUCUUCAUACUCGUGGCAGCCUCCUCCUAAAAUAAAAUCUCAAAUGUUAAUCUUGACCUGAUGCAAUUUCUAUGCUAUCUUUAUUUUAUUAUUGCAGUAAAUGACGUUUGGCCAGAUGAAUGGAGAAAGCUAUGAGGUCAAACAAAAAUAAUGAAGUGAUUAAGUCUUAAAUUUAAGAAUCCUAGAAGUACCUAUCUCUCAGAGGCUGAAACUGACAUACUUGCACUGACAAUUCCUGUACAAAACAUUCUACACAAUUUGGAAUAAGACUGGCACUAUGAUGUAGGUUCAUCGCUCUAAAUGCUUGGAUUUUCAGAAAUGUGGAGAGGCUUGUUGAUGUCCAUAGAAAGUCUUGUCUGGUUACUAUGUGACUGUAGCUUUCAACAAACCCAUCUUUUGACCCAGUUGGGUACCUAAGAUCUAACACAUGCAUUGGAUUGUCAAGUACCUGUAUGGCAAAGUCUAUAAAAUACCAUGGUGAGGGUAUGUGUGUAUUCCUUCCUCUUUUUUUUGUAUCAAGUACCCUCUUUGAUUUUGUGACUCUGUGAUUAUGCUUUAAUUUUAAAUUGGGCAAACUGUAAAUAAAAUUGAAAAUCUGAUUUAAG
rnacentral:lncRNA from 11 species